rnacentral:rRNA from 1 species
CAGCACCUCAAGUGGUCAGGACGAUUAUUGGGCCUAAAGCAUCCGUAGCCUGCUUUGUAAGUUUUCGGUUAAAUCCAUACGCUCAACGUAUGGGCUGCCGGGAAUACUGCAAAGCUAGGGAGUGGGAGAGGUAGACGGUACUCGGUAGGAAGGGGUAAAAUCCUUUGAUCUAUUGAUGACCACCUGUGGCGAAGGCGGUCUACCAGAACACGUCCGACGGUGAGGGAUGAAAGCUGGGGGAGCAAACCGGAUUAGAUACCCGAGUAGUCC